GGCCGCGGCAUAAANCCGUGCAANGGUAGCACAAUCACUUGUCCCUUAAAUGAGGACCCGUAUGAAAGGCAACAUGAGAGAGAACCUGUCUCUUAAGGUAAGCCAAUGAAAUUGAUCUGUCAGUACAAAAGCUGACAUAACAAAGCAAGACAAAAAGACCCUAUGGAACUUUAACAAAUUACCUACACAAAAUAGGUAAUAGUUUCAGUUGGGACAACUACAGAAAAAAUAAACCUCUAAAAUUUACCUAGACCAACAAGUCUAAACCACAACAUGACCCAGUAAUACUGAUUAACGAAACAAGCUACCCUAGGGAUAACAGCGCCACCUUCUCAAAGAGUCCAUAUCAACAAGAAGAUCUACGACCUCGAUGUUGGAUCAGGGUAUCCAGACGGUGCAGCAGCUGUCAAUGGUUCGUUUGUUCAACGAUUAAACACCCUACGCGAUCUGAGUUCAGA
rnacentral:rRNA from 1 species